GUAUUGAAUCAAAGUUGUAAAAGUGUGUCUAUUGAAUUAAUUUAUUUACAUUCCGUUUUUAAACAAAAAAAAUCGUCACAAGUAACGUUUGAGAAUUGUGUUUAUUAAAAAAACGCGUGGGUUUUUUUUUCAAACCAUAUUGUUUCCAAAAUUUAUUAAGUGAUUAGUGAAGCAAGUUUUUAUUUUUACGAAACAAAUGUCACUGCUAACAACCCCAGUUUUGGAACAAAAUCGUUUUGUAGAUCAUGUCGAUUACUUUUCUCAAUAUACUGAUGAGGAUAGCUCCACAUCUUUUGAAAAAAACGAUUCAUUUACAAUAGAUUCUGUUGAUAAAUAUUUAGUAAAAGAGAUACAAAUAAAGUAUAACAAAUCAUCUACUUCCGGAAAAAAAAACGAUAAUACAUUAACUUAUGAAAACUCACAAAGUAUUAAUUUGAACGAAAAAAGGAAUCGCAACAGACUUGCUGCCCAACGAUGCAGACAGAAACAAAAAGAAAGAAUACAGUAUUUAGAAAAGGUUGAACACCCCAACAACUCUUAGCAUAACGUCUGAAAAUCUGAAAAAGGCCAUUGAAUCAAGUCUAAAACUCUUUAUAGUUGACAUGCCAAACAAUUCUCAAUAUGUGGAGAGAGCAGUAAAAUUAACGUCUGAGGCAUCUAAACAAGUUUAUGGUCAAGAAAAGCGACACGAAUUCAUUUUGACAAAAAAAUCAAAAAGAUAAUAAAAGAAACGACGCAAAAAGAAUCGAGAAAGAAAACUCACACGUUGAGCUAGAAAUAAAAGAGCUUAAUUAUCAACUCGACGAAAUUAAAAAGAUUUUACGUUAUCAUUGCUGUAGAAUAAUUCCAACAAAAUAAGAAAAACUUGAAAUUGUUAUCCCUGUCACCAUGGAGCGAAAUUUAUUAUUUUUAAUAACUUAAUUUAUUUUUUUCUAAAAAAUGUGUAAUUAAUUAAUAAUAAUCUUGAAAUUGUAAGUUAUUAACAAAAUCAAAAUAAAAAUAUUUAAGUAUUUAAAAAAAGAAUUUUCAAUAAAUGUUUUAGUUAACUUGAAAAAUGUAUUUUAUAACUUGUUAAACGUAGCUUUUUAUGUUUGUAUUUUUUUAUUUUUAGCUUUCUUUUAACUUUUUUGACGUAAAUUUAUUUAGGGAUUUGACUUAUGACAAGAGGGAAGAAAAGCUUUGCUAAAACACUAUUAUGUUAAGCUUUGCUUAAACAUUGUUUCAAACUGCAAAAAGUUUGUUUCAGGUGGUGGGGAAAAGGUUACACAUGAUUAUUUAAAAAGUUUUUCUAACAAAAAUUAAACAAACUUUUUUUGUAGCUUAUGUAUUUGAGAGUGUAUUAUGUAAGUGAGAAGUAUGAUAUAUAGACAUUAAUAAAUCGAUGUGGCAGACAUAUACGCAUCCGAUGUGACAGACAUAGAUACAUACAUACGGUGUGAAAUAUACAUAGAUAUUGCGUGACAGACAUACAUGCAUAUUUUUUCUCUUUUAGAGUAUUUUCAAAUGUUCCAAAUAUAAAAAAAAAUGUUUGUAUCAACGUUUGAGAAAUAACGCUAAUAGCAAA